GAUGAACGCUGGCGGCGUGCCUAAUACAUGCAAGUCGAGCGAACAGAUGAGGAGCUUGCUCCUCUGACGUUAGCGGCGGACGGGUGAGUAACACGUGGAUAACGUACCUAUAAGACUGGGAUAACUUCGGGAAACCGGAGCUAAUACCGGAUAAUAUAUUGAACCGCAUGGUUCAAUAGUGAAAGACGGUUUUGCUGUCACUUAUAGAUGGAUCCGCGCCGCAUUAGCUAGUUGGUAAGGUAACGGCUUACCAAGGCAACGAUGCGUAGCCGACCUGAGAGGGUGAUCGGCCACACUGGAACUGAGACACGGUCCAGACUCCUACGGGAGGCAGCAGUAGGGAAUCUUCCGCAAUGGGCGAAAGCUUGACGGAGCAACGCCGCGUGAGUGAUGAAGGUCUUCGGAUCGUAAAACUCUGUUAUUAGGGAAGAACAAAUGUGUAAGUAACUAUGCACGUCUUGACGGUACCUAAUCAGAAAGCCACGGCUAACUACGUG
rnacentral:rRNA from 1 species